rnacentral:rRNA from 1 species
UACGUAGGGACCAAGCGUUGUCCGGAAUCAUUGGGCGUAAAGCGCGCGUAGGCGGCCCGGUAAGUCCGUUGUAAAAGUCAAAGGCUCAACCUUUGAAUGCCGAUGGAUACUGCCGGGCUAGAGUCCGGAAGAGGCGAGUAGAAUUCCUGGUGUAGCGGUGGAAUGCGCAGAUAUCAGGAGGAAUACCCAUAGCGAAGGCAGCUCGCUGGGACGGUACUGACGCUGAGGAGCGAAAGCGUGGGGAGCGAACAGG